rnacentral:lncRNA from 1 species
CCCGUGUACAAAUAAUGAAAGCAUCCAAUUCAAAACGCGAGGUUUUUGUGUAGUGUGUAUAACCAACUACGGCUGCAGAAUAUACAGAGUCUCUGGUGUUGAUGGAAAGGAUUGUUUACCUAGAGGCAGCUUGGUAUGACAUGUUGCAAAGCAUUCUGUUUGAUUAACAGAUAAUAGAUACUGACGACACUAAGCAAAUUAUACUUACCUAGCAGUUGCAGUAUUCCAGCCAUGGAGUCAUAAUCUUAGAAUAAAGGUCUCGGUGUUUAGGUGAAUCUGAGGAAAGUCCAAAAUAUUGCAACUGUUCCAGUUGUUAAAAUUGUAAGCAAAGACGUAUGCUGGCUUUAACACAUCAACAAGACAACAAAACACUCAUUUCAUAUGCUGGCUCCAGUGAUGUUAAUUCAGCUGCAGAUACUUCUGUUCUCAAAUAUGUAUCGACAGUACCUGUGUCAGAUGUACUGGCAAACAUGUUAUAUCUUCAUUUUUGUCGAGCCCGCUUGCGGAAGCAAAGAUAGAUGUCCAAAUGGCUGUUCUGUGUAUGUGCGUGUGUGCGUCCGUCCGUCCGUCCGUCAGGAUUUGUUUGUCCGGACCAUAACUUUG